UGAACUAGUUCCUGGAAAUGCAGGAGUAGACAAGAAAGGCUUGACUUCCAUAGGGGUCUUGCAGUUUACUGAGAUGCACAAUUAUGUUGUUACAAUUGGGAAGAAGAGACAUACAAGUCCUGGGCGACUACAGACAGCAAGAUGUCCUUGUUUACCAACAGCCCAAAUUCUGCAUGCAGAAGACACCUAUCUAAGUCGUAGAGUCUCCAAAGAAAUUGCCUGAAAGCUCCGAUUUGAAUGGAAAGUUUUUCUGUAGUUGUGGAUGGAAACCUGAGCCAUCCUAUAUUGUGCAGCUUUACACUGUCAGUGACCUUGUGAUGUGGCUCUGAGUUUUCACAAGGUCACCCAGGCCUGACAGAACACACAACCUAAGGCACAAGGGUUGCUGUACCAGCACAUCUGUACUUGACAUCGCGUGUCCCUGCGUCCUGGCCGAGCCACAGAGAACAAAACCACGCUCAAGGCCGGCACAGUCCCACCAGCAGGCCCUUGGAGGAGCGUCAGAUCAUGCCACGGACACAGGACCCAUCUACAUGGCUUCUUGGCCCUGAGGAGAUGGGCUGCUGAAGCCAGCACCUCCAAUUCUGUCUAUAGUGGAAGACAGAGAGGCCGAGGACUGAAUACCUGCUGUCUGAGUUGGUUCAAUGUACACGAACGGGACGUUAAUCCAGGCAGGUGAGAUGUGAGAAGGAGCAACUUAGAAAGUCACCCAUCUCACACCUGUAGCCUGAACUUGACAAUUCUACUCCUAUAACAACAACAACAGCUGCAGCAACAUUCAGAUGCCCCCACUGUGAGCUCCUGUAUUUUUAUUUCCGAAGACUUUCAAAGAGGGACAUCUUACCCCACGGCGAUGGAUUGGGAAACACAGAGAACAAAGAUCCUAAGAAUCUAAGAUUUUUGUAUUUUUUUAAAUAACAAAAAUGGAUUAAUCCUGAAGAAACUGAAAAAAAAGGAGUCUUAGAAGGGAAUAUUAAUGCAUGCAUAUUUUUGGUACAUUAAAAACUCCAACGUACUAAUUCAAGCACUGUUUACUUUUUGUAUUUAACAGGAUUGCUAUUUUCAAGGGAAAAACAAGAUAUUUUCUGAGUGCCAAAAACUACUUACUCAUGAAGUCUGAAAUACCAUUAUUAGUAGUAGUAAUUCUUACAUUUAGCAUCUGUGAAUAACUUCUUAUACGAGAACACUAUUUUGGGUCAGCUGAAGGCUAAAAAUAAUGAGUUGGCUUUCUGCCUUUGUGUAGUGAGUCAAAUAGCUGCCAAUUAAUAUAAUGGAUUUUUUUUGUUCCUGUGAUAAAUUUCAGAAAAUGAGAACAAAUAGUUGUUGGUGUUUCAUAAUUUCCAAUGGAAAGAAUAUAUUUCUCACAAGUUUAAAGAUUGACUGCACUCUUAAGUAACCAAACAAUUACAAGAAGCUGCCGGUGUAUUUCUGUGGUUUAGCAAAAGGGCCAAGUCGGAAGGAAAAGACAUUCCCAGCAUUUUCUAAAGCUAGAUAAAUACAGAAACGAAAUAUAGAUGAAAGAUGGAACUGCUCUCUAUAGCAUCUGCCAGAUUCCUCGACUUUUUGGCACACUGAUUGAAUUUGGCAAAGGUACCCAGUAGCAAUCUUUUCCAUUAAAAGGAGCAGCAUAUACUUUAUUUUACCAUACUGUUUGUGUAUUUUUGACCCUCCAAAACUCUCUUUUUUAGAAGGCAAUUAUUUCUACAGAGUUGGCUGCAAUUACAUUUAUUUGAAACGGAUCAUUUAUCAACAAAAAAAGCUGCGGGGCAUAGCUACUGUUGAACAGAUCCAACGGACCUACAGGUCGUCAGGAAAGUGUCUUUCUUUGAAACCAAAAGAUGCUUUAACAUGUGCCAGCAUCAUCUUUUGCCAAUCUAACGCUUUUGAUAUCCAAACCUAUUUAAAUUUGGAGGAAUCCUGGACUGUUCAAUUUAGGCAAGAUAAGCUACCCAGCUCUGUCGUUUUCUUCUAUUUGUGAUCAGAAAAACUGUAACGUAGUCCAACAUUCCUAAUUUUGGUAACAUGAUGAUGUUAAGAAAAGGAAUAACUCUCCCGUCCAAAAUCAAAUUUUUGUGGAAUCCAAUACUUCUUAACCCUGAAUUUUUUUCUGAGCUGGCAGUGAUUCUAUAGUAAACUUCUGAGGAUAUAUAAGUAACAAUCUCUAAAAAUAUGACACGCGGCAGCAAGUAUGAAGGCAAUGGUUUCUGGCCUCACUCAACUCAGGAAAGAGAGGCUCACACCUGAUAAGCUUUUUACAUAACUCAGAGGGAAAUGACUUUUUGUUUUCAGAUUUUAUUGGUUUCUUCUAAACCAAACAAAAGCAAAAGAUGAGGGGUGUUCACCUGUUGCUAUGAAGUUUUUGAGUGCAACAUUAUGGUCAGAUAUUUGGUUUUUAAACAGCCCCAAAUUGAGGCAUACUGUAUAGCUGACAGUGACUUGGAAAUACUAUUGUUACUAAUGUUAUUUGCCAUCUAGUGCACUCUUUCUUAAUCAUUAAGUAGCAGCUAAUUUAAAGCAGUGGAAGAGUAUUAGCUUCAUGUGAGCGCCAGAAAAACGCUGUGGUUUCAACAUAAAGUUAGGAGCCAACAGCGACAGAUAUAAAAUAUGAAGAUGUAUAAUUUGCCAAGUUUAAAAUCCCCAAACCAACAUGGGAAUGCUUCACAGGUUUAUAUGUGCGUAAAGUGAAGACUGUUUUGCACAGACUUAAAAUGGUGAAGGAGUGUAUCUUUUCUUAAACUUAGGUUGACAGUAUAAUAGUACACCUCCUAUAAUCACAAAGUAUUUGACAAAAAAGAGCCAACUGUUAUUCUGUUUAAAUUUCAGGAUGCUAAAUCCAUACCAGCAGUUGGCAGUAGCUGAGUCUGGAAUAUUUUCGAAAAAAUUAUAAAUAAUUACCUUUCACAUUUACAAUUUACAUCGAUUUAACUCACAAAGCUUGCCUUAUGAAAGAGUUCUUUAAUAAAAAUAAAACAACAAUAAUAAAUAAAACUAGCCAAAGCUGUCAGCAAGAAUUUGUCAUUUUCAUAACUGAGGUAGAAUAUCCUACAAGUUAAAUAUUGGGUAAAAUGCCCUCUGCACAUUCUUUUCUAUUUUUAUUGAUCUAUUUGUACAUAUUUAUGUACAUCUUUAAAACAACUGCAAUAACAACCUCAUAAUAAAAGCAUAUAUUUGACUCUAAAACAGCCUAAAUAACAGUGUGACAAAAGACAGUGAAUAUCAACUGACCUAAGGAUUUCUCAUGUCAGUUGGUUCAGAAAUUUAAAUUCUGAUUUGUCACAUUCGUGCACAUCUUUUGGAGUGCCUUCCCAGCAUAUCAUGAACGCCCUUGACUGCCUUUGUGUUCCACCUCCAAUGGCAAGUCUUGGAAGCCAUCUUGUAAAGUAUCACAUGUUUCAUUGUCCACCACUGAUUGGACAAGGGGUGGGUACUUUUCCUAAAAUGGGCCAAUCAGCUUCUCUUGUCUGAGAUUUUUGAACUGAAAAUGGGGGUGGAGAAAAUACGUGGCCUCCUUGGGUGGCUGGAUACCUAGAUCCAGGAGAAGCAGUAAAGAAAACAGUGGCAAAGAGAGGAAGCCAACUGGCAUAGAAAGAAUAAAAGGAAACAAAUAAGAAAAGUGGAGAGAUGACAGAUGGAAGAAAGAUGCUAAAGGCUUUGGAGCUCAGCGCCUUCUUAGGGCUCUGCUGCUUUCUUGCCCAUGGGAAUUCUCUUUGGUGCAUAAGUUUGAGUUACAUUGCUCAAAUAUGAGUUAUGAAGUAAUUUAUUGAUUUAUAGCUGAUCCUGCAUUGCAUCUGUAGGACUUUGGAUGCAUCACUUAGACUAUCGAGCUAAAGCUUCCCAAUCUUCAAAAUGGGAGAGUAAUGCCUGCACCACGGGGGUACAGUAAAGAUUAAAUGAAAUAAGGAAUAAAGCACAUAGGCCACCAGUGAAUGCUCAGUAAUUGAUUAUUAUUCUUUUUAAAAUAGAUCAACCUGAAAUACACAUUUUGUAACAUAUAUAUGAG